GAUCAUGGCUCAGGACGAACGCUGGCGGCGUGCUUCAUACAUGCAAGUCGAACGAGAAGCUGACUUCGGUCAGUGGAAAGUGGCGGACGGGUGAGUAAUAUGUAGAGAAUCUGCCCUUGAGUGGGGGACAACAGAGGGAAACUUCUGCUAAUACCCCAUAUGAGCUAACUUGAAAUAGUUAUCUUGAAAACUCCGGUGCUCAAGGAUGAGUCUGCAUCUGAUUAGCUAGUUGGCGGUGUAAUGGACCACCAAGGCGACGAUCAGUAGCUGGUUUGAGAGGAUGAUCAGCCACAAUGGGACUGAGACACGGCCCAUACUCCUACGGGAGGCAGCAGUAGGGAAUUUUGCGCAAUGGGCGAAAGCCCUGACGCAGCAACGCCGCGUGAACGAUUAAGCCCUUCGGGGUGUAAAGUUCUGUCAGUAGGGACGAAUUUUGACGGUACCUACAGAGGAAGCACCGGCUAACUCCGUGCCAGCCGCUGC
rnacentral:rRNA from 1 species